UUUAUCAUUAAUCCCCAAAAUUAAUAUUUUAAUUAAACUACCUCCU
rnacentral:tRNA from 1 species